rnacentral:sRNA from 1 species
GGAACAACAUUGAUGGGGAGUAGUAAGCAGGCGCGUAUUUUGCAGAGAGCCGCCGGUUGGUGUAAGGCGGUAAAGACGUGCUGAUGAACUCGCCUCUGAGUUGGUCGGAGGAAUAGGUACUCCGAUUCGGUGGUAACCGUUAACAACACACACGAGUGGGUAAAGUUAUGGGGCUGUGGCGCAGAGGGAGCGCGCUUCCUUGGCAUGGAAGAGGCCGCGGGUUCGAUUCCCGCCAGCUCCACCAGGCAAUAACUUACCAACAAGGGUGGUACCGCGGGUAUAUUACUCCCGUCCCUUAU